CGGACAGAAGCCCGCUGGAUAGGGUGUUUAGCUGUUAAUUAAAUUUUUGCGGGAUCAAGGCCCGCCUGUCUAG
rnacentral:tRNA from 1 species